CUACGGGGCGCUGCAGUGGGGAAUAUUGCACAAUGAGCGAAAGCUUGAUGCAGCCAUACCGCGUGUGUGAAGAAGGCCCGAGGGUUGUAAAGCACUUUCAAUUGUGAGGAAGGUUCAGUAGUUAAUACCUGCUGUUCUUGACGUUAACUUUAGAAGAAGCACCGGCUAACUCUGUGCCAGCAGCCGCGGUAAUACAGAGGGUGCAAGCGUUAUUCGGAAUUACUGGGCGUAAAGCGCGCGUAGGCGGAUUGUUAAGUCAGUUGUGAAAGCCCUGGGCUCAACCUGGGAACUGCAUCUGAUACUGGCAAUCUAGAGUUUAAGAGAGGGAAGUGGAAUUCCAGGUGUAGCAGUGAAAUGCGUAGAUAUCUGGAGGAACAUCAGUGGCGAAGGCGACUUCCUGGCUUAAAACUGACGCUGAGGUGCGAAAGCGUGGGUAGCGAACGGGAUUAGAUACCCUCGUAGUC
rnacentral:rRNA from 1 species